rnacentral:rRNA from 1 species
UGAUGCAGCGACGCCGCGUGAGGGAUGACGGCCUUCGGGUUGUAAACCUCUUUCAGCAGGGAAGAAGCGAAAGUGACGGUACCUGCAGAAGAAGCGCCGGCUAACUACGUGCCAGCAGCCGCGGUAAUACGUAGGGCGCAAGCGUUGUCCGGAAUUAUUGGGCGUAAAGAGCUCGUAGGCGGCUUGUCACGUCGGUUGUGAAAGCCCGGGGCUUAACCCCGGGUCUGCAGUCGAUACGGGCAGGCUAGAGUGUGGUAGGGGAGAUCGGAAUUCCUGGUGUAGCGGUGAAAUGCGCAGAUAUCAGGAGGAACACCGGUGGCGAAGGCGGAUCUCUGGGCCAUUACUGACGCUGAGGAGCGAAAGCGUGGGGAGCGAACAGGAUUAGAUACCCUGGUAGUCCACGCCGUAAACGGUGGGCACUAGGUGUUGGCGACAUUCCACGUCGUCGGUGCCGCAGCUAACGCAUUAAGUGCCCCGCCUGGGGAGUACGGCCGCAAGGCUAAAACUCAAAGGAAUUGACGGGGGCCCGCACAAGCAGCGGAGCAUGUGGCUUAAUUCGACGCAACGCGAAGAACCUUACCAAGGCUUGACAUACGCCGGAAAACCCUGGAGACAGG